rnacentral:misc_RNA from 1 species
UCGCGGCUUAUCACCGGCAGUCGCCUUAGAGUGCCCAACUAAAUGAUGGCAACUAAGGCCGAGGGUUGCGCUCGUUGCGGGACUUAACCCAACAUCUCACGACACGAGCUGACGACAGCCAUGCAGCACCUGUGUAAGCUUCCCUUGCGGGAUCGUCGGACUUUCAUCCUUCUACAACCUACAUGUCAAGGCCAGGUAAGGUUCUUCGCGUUGCAUCGAAUUGAGCCACAUACUCCACCGCUUGUGCAGGCCCCCGUCAAUUUCUUUGAGUUUUAAUCUUGCGACCGUACUUCCCAGGCGGCAUGUUUAACGCGUUGGCUACGCCACAAAAGGGGUCGAUUCCUUUUACAGCAAACAUGCACCGUUUACGGCUAGGACUAC